UACGUAGGGUGCGAGCGUUGUCCGGAAUUAUUGGGCGUAAAGAGCUCGUAGGCGGUCUGUCGCGUCGGAUGUGAAAAUCCAGGGCUUAACCCUGGACCUGCAUUCGAUACGGGCAGACUAGAGUUCGGUAGGGGAGACUGGAAUUCCUGGUGUAGCGGUGAAAUGCGCAGAUAUCAGGAGGAACAGCCGGUGGCGAAGGCGGCAUCCUGGACCGGUAUUGACGCUGAGGCGCGAAAGCCAGGGGAGCAAACGGG
rnacentral:rRNA from 1 species